rnacentral:rRNA from 1 species
AUCACGCCGCGUGAGGGAUGAAGGCCUCUGGGCUGUAAACCUCUUUUAUCAAGGAAGAAGAUCUGACGGUACUUGAUGAAUAAGCCACGGCUAAUUCCGUGCCAGCAGCCGCGGUAAUACGGGAGUGGCAAGCGUUAUCCGGAAUUAUUGGGCGUAAAGCGUCCGCAGGCGGUCUUUUAAGUCUGUCGUCAAAGCGUGGAGCUUAACUCCAUUUCUGCGAUGGAAACUGGAAGACUAGAGUGUGGUAGGGGCAGAGGGAAUUCCCGGUGUAGCGGUGAAAUGCGUAGAUAUCGGGAAGAACACCAGUGGCGAAGGCGCUCUGCUGGGCCAUAACUGACGCUCAUGGACGAAAGCCAGGGGAGCGAAAGGGAUUAGAUACCCCUGUAGUCCUGGCCGUAAACGAUGAACACUAGGUGUCGGGGGAAUCGACCCCCUCGGUGUCGUAGCCAACGCGUUAAGUGUUCCGCCUGGGGAGUACGCACGCAAGUGUGAAACUCAAAGGAAUUGACGGGGGCCCGCACAAGCGGUGGAGUAUGUGGUUUAAUUCGAUGCAACGCGAAGAACCUUACCAGGGUUUGACAUCCUGCGAAUCCCUUGGAAACGAGGGAGUGCCUUCGGGAGCGCAGUGACAGGUGGUGCAUGGC